ensembl:lncRNA
AGUCUGCUACUGAUCAGGAAGUCCGCGGGGCUGAAAAACUGGUUUACAGAAACAGGAAAAGUCAGUAAACACAGCUGCCAAAGAUAAUAGAUGCGAUAGAACACAAUGCCUACUAGAUCAAGUGUGAUGCAAGUGGCGUUAUUAUUAUUAUUAGUCAUUUUCUACUUUUCUUCAAGAUUCGAAGAUGAGAAUUUUCUGGCUAUUAUUUGAUGCUUUGAAUUCAAAAUGCAUUUUCAAAAAAAACACUUUUUUAGCAGGCUGCGUAGACGACAACAUGCAGACUCUUCAUUAAACAAUCCUCAUUAGCUUAAUAAUACCGUGUCAUAAAACAGGUGAGGCCGGCAGUAAAAGCACAGGUGUUGCUGAUAUCAUCACUAAUUGGCUCACGCUCGUUAAACGGCCCGCUGGCGACAAGGGAAAAGGGAGGGAAGCCAUCAUUCGGCCAAACGUUAUGCUGCCGAGAAAUAGACUUUUAUUUCAUACAAUAUGAAUAGCAACAAAUACAAAAUACUACACAAAUGAACAUGAGAAAAGACAUGCAGACAAAUAGCUGUUUUACUCGGUGUUACCUGUACACACAUGAAACGUACCUGUCGUAUUGGCCUGUGCACAGUUUCGUCAUCAUCACUUAGAUUGUUCCUGAUGAUGUGACCCAAAUAUCUCACUUCAGGCACCACGUUUAGUUCUUUGCCUCCCACGAAAAAACAGAGGAAAAAGUAGCCAUGCAUUCAUGACAACAGACAGGUAAAGUCAAAUCAUUGUGCUCUGCAUAGGGAUUUCUUCUUUUAAUCAGUCCAUAAAAAUUAUCAUUCAGCGGGAAUUGCGUAACCAUGAAUGAAAUAUUGUAUUGAGCUUGCUCCUAACUAGCUGCCUUCCAAAAUCUUUAUUAUAUAGAGCAAACAAACCCAAACAAACAAUCUAGCAGAUGUGCCUGAAGCUCUUUGGCCAGAAUGCAAGUGUCCCAGAUGUUCCCUCACGUUGAAAAAGCCAAACAGCAGCUUUGAUUAAGUAACAGGGUCGAGCAGGUUAUUCUUAAAUCACACACUGUGAAAGGCUCCUGUGACCAUUUGAUUAGCGUUUUUUUACUGGUCACAUUGAUGUCACGUUUGUGUAAUCUAAUGUCAGACUCCAUUCCGUAGAAAUAGUAAACACAAAGUCACACUCAAGAAGAUGCCUGUGAGUAACCACUGAAUCCAGUGGAGAGCAGAAACGCCAGGCAGCCGUGCAGCUUAGUGAAGCCUCGAUAAUGUGGGGCUGCAAUGCUCCCUGAUUUAUGCAGCGGGGUAGAUGGUCCAAAUGUAUCCUCCUGCAAUAUUUAUUAGACAUGCACACCAUCACUCUGCAUUUUGGAUGCAAUGGUUGCAGGUGGACAGAGCGCAUUGCAUUGCAUAGCGCAGACCUGUCAAAUGCACAUAAUGGAGGAUGGCAGUGUGAUCAUUUGCAGUAUUUCCAUGGCAUCAUCAUUUUGCACACUGUACAUCUGAGAUUGAGGCGUCUGAGGGAACACUCUGUCCUGGGGGGUGCGGGGAGGUGGAUGGGGAGGGGGGUUACUCCUGCCAUCAGACUGCUACUGCAUUAAAUCAAACUUGUGUAUGUGUAUGUAUUUAUGUUUACUAACGCAUUAGCUUCCCGGGUUAGCAUUAGCUGGUCACUCCACUAGAAUGGACCACAGACUGUGAUCAUGUGUUCCAAUGGAGUCGCCGUGAUCUUCACAAAUGAGUUCACAACAAACGCAAACUACCAGAACACACAAACCUAUAAAUUACUGUGUUUUCGAUAACUCGUUGAACUGAAUAAACCACAAUACUGUGACUUCACCAGUCACACGGUCUUUUGGAGGGAUUGUAUGAGUGUAAACCUGCAGAUGUUUGAUGUGAUUCUAACAUUCAGCUCAUGAUGAAGCUCUUUUCCUUCGUGGUCUGCUGCAACAAACUCGCUCAAAAUCCACAUGAACUAUUUAGUAAUGGUGGUUCUGUGCUAAGUAUAGUAGAGUCAAAGUAGAGUCCUUUAAGGCCAUCAUGGUACAUUUCACACCACUGCACAAACCUUGCUGAUUCCAGACCAGUACUAUACAAAUCCUACUGAGAGCAAGUUAGCCGCUGACGUUGCUGUUUGAAAAAGAAACCCUGCAACAUCUACAAGCAUUAAGAUGACCUGUUUUUUGUUUGUUUUUUGUUUCACGGACAGUUGUUUUCCCGGAUCUCCAGAGGUUCCCCCUGCUGUCGGGUUCUACACCCUCCCCCCCAUCCCCCCCGGUGGGGCUGAGUCACGGUGCAGUGCAAUUACAGGUCGGACCAGAGUGUCAUUUCUUAUUGAUGUGAACUCCUGCUUCCUAAACUAGAGCUCGUGCUCAACAUUACUCUUUGUCAAAGGAAAAAAAAAUGACACGGUGCAUGUCGCUGCCCCCCAGUAGAGGGCACUGUGGGUGUUCAUGAAGGCCGGACCUGUCUGUCUGUGACCCCCCCCCCCCCCCCCCCCCCCAUCUCUCCACUCCCCCCUCCACCCCUUGAUUACAGUGUUUGAGCUGUUGUGUUCGGUAGACUUUGUGGCACUCUGUAAAUAAGAUUCAAGGAGUUGUUUCCCCCCCUUCACUUACUUCUCCCAUUCUCUGUUCCCCUGUAAACCACAGAAAACACACCACACAUUAAAACACAUCCCAUUUCUUAUUGAUCUAUAGUAAACCUUUGCAGAAGAUGAGAAGGUGGUGAUCCUGGCGCCGGUGUUUGCUGAUGUACUCACGAGGAGUUUUAUUUCACGGACAUGUUGAUUCAGACAUUUAAACAUCUCUAUAUAACAAACAUAUUUCUCAUGGCUCAUUCUACUGCAUUUUUUGCAUUGUUAAUAACAAACAAAUUUAAUAUAAAGAUGUGUAUGAAAUUGAUUGAACAGCAUUUCAGCAUGAAAUUGAUUGAAAUAAGAAUUAAUACACCAAAGAGUUCUUGCAGGUGAGUCACUUUCUCUACUUUCAUCAUCCAGUCUAUUUAAUGCUUUCUGUUGGAGUUGUAUUAAUGGAUCUUUUGUGUAGAGUCAUUUGAGAUUCAUCUCUUUCCUUUGCAUUCACUCUACCCUCCUACUCUUCUCCUAUUGCGUCCUGAUUUACACACACACACAUACUUUUCACUGGCGUCCUUUCAAGUCUCCUUUUCUGGAGUUCUCUAUGUACAUAAUCAUGAUUAUAGAAAUAAUUUUGCUCUAUGAAUGAAAUGCUCCUUCCUUGAUGAAAGAAAUCAUGAGUCUGAUGGGGACAGUUGUGCGCAGUCCGUUGUGCUCCUGGCUCUACAAAACAUUCCAAAUUAUCAGCAGGCGACAAUAACAUUGGAUUUACUUUGCAUGCUCAUUAAAUUGAAAUUGGGUUUAUCUAUGUGAGAAGUGAACUGGCGUUGUUGCUGUUAAUUGUCCUUUUCUGCAGUCGAGUCUUGCGGCAAAAAUGCUGUGAGGAAGUUGGUUUACUCUGCAUCUGUAAACUGGAUUAUAGAUGAUUGUUUUCUGUAUUAGCUGCCUUCAUAUUACAAAGAUAACAUCACUUUUUUUUUUACACACUCACACUCGUUUUCCACCAUUCUCCAUCCCCCUUUGCAAGCGGCCUUACUGACCCGACUGUUUUUAAGCUCUUAGCUUUAAUUGGCAUCCGCCCAGUCACCCAUACAGCCACUGUUAUUAAAGACAUAAAGACAUAAGACAAUGAAAAGCACUGCUACUGGUCAGGUUUAGGACACAGUCGCACCCAGCCAGCCCUCUGGGGAUUCCGUCCUUUGCUUGAAAACAUUUUGAUGCACGUGUUACCGAUGCUUUGUUGCUUGUGAUAGUUAAUGGACCACGUGAGCUCGACAUAAUUUCACAAAACAAAAAGGCCUUUGGGAGUCUCUUUAGGAUCCACUGUGGAUUUAUCGAUUUCAAGUCAGGAUGAGAGAAUAACCAAUAUUACUUAUUAGCCGUGUGCCAUAAUGCUCAGAGGGCUUUACAUUUGAUUAUCCGUCAACAUUUCUAUUCUUCAUAUGUGGCAAAAACACAUUUUACAGACACACAUUUCGGUUUUAGAAUUUGAAAGCUGUAAGAGUCAAAGCCGAUUACAGUUUUUCUUCAGAAUGCAAUUAAACAUGAUUUUAUUGUAUUGGUUAGGUCAGCUGUCCUCUGUGUCCUCUGUCCUGGGCCCUUUGCUAAAUCACUGACUGGCCACCAGUACGUCCUUACACCAACAUCCAAACGUAUGGGUAUGACCCUGUGAUGUAGAUGGAAGCUUGGAGAUGCCUCUGUAUCAGGGGAGAAGCUACAGAUUGCAUGUAUGUAUGCAAGACAAGCACUUCGAAUUUAAUCUUUUCAACUCCAGAUCAACUCGCAACCACGCAUGUCCGAAGAGGAGGCUUAGAUUCACAUCAUGCUUUCUAUAGGGAUUAAUUUCCUACGUCACCAACGGGGUUCAGCUGAUCGUGUCAGUCCGGGUGGGGUUCAGCGAGAGGGUGCCGUGAACGCGCCGUUCUGUCUGCUGUCCAUUACUAGCUUGCUAUUGUCAGUCUUUCAUGUACCCGAAUGCAAGCCUUUUUUUUCAGCUUUUAUUGUGUUAUUUGCUCAUUUUAUAACUAAAUGUGUUUUUCAGUGCUUCUGCUGUUUCAAUUAGUUUCUAAUAAAGCAGCACAAUGUUCUUAUUCCAAUCCAAAAUCCCCUAUUAUGUUGCUCUGUGAAUCCUCUAUUGUGUGCCUCUGUGUUUUAAAAAAAACCUAAUAUUAAUAUUCCCUUUCUUUUUGUUAUUGUUGCUCUGCACGCUUAUAAACAAUCUAUCUUUGUUUCUAAGUUUGUAAUUUUAAUCUUGUUUUCUGUUUUAGUGAGACUUUGUUAAAUCGGUUCAGAGACGGAUGAAAACAGGCCUUCUGCGUAGCCGUGGAUUGUGUAGAUUUACAACAGUGAUCAUUGAUGUGCAUAAUAAGUAAUAAAUAAAUGAGAUUUUUGGUGGUCGGCGACACUGUAUGUCCAGUCUGCCGUUUACCAGCUACCAUAAAUCAAAACCAAACCACCAACAAACAGGACCAACUCAUGACCUUGAGUCAAGACGAACCAAGCUGUGCUAAGCUACGGCCUCCGAUAAACUUUAAAAGUUUUAAAAUAAAAGUUGAAUAUUUUCCCUUAUGAUCAAAACAUGCAAAAGUGAAGGUGUUUCUGAACUACCUUAAACAAUCUUAUUUUUUUUCAAUGUUUUAAGCUCUGGUUGAAAUCUUUCAUACAUAAAACACACAGUUGUUCUUUAAACAAAUAACAGCUAAACUGAAAAAAGGACUUUUCUGAAAGCAUUGUUGUGACUUUGGAUAACUCAUUUAAAUAUUGUUUUCCCCUUGUAGGUACAAAACAUAUUCCUUAGUUUGUGACUAAUAACAGCUCUUGGAUAAUUGUAAUUUUAUAAUAUUUCUAAACACAAUACCUUUGUCUUCCCAUGCUAAAGCGUUAUUUCCCCGUAAAUCCUUAAA